rnacentral:lncRNA from 1 species
UACAUUAAGAUCUUGAUGUUGUGCUCCUUCCUUGCACCUUGAUGCGUUGUCUAUUUCAUACUUAGAAAUAGCUUACAAAGAGUACUUUGAUAAAUCUCAGAUUAUAUCGAAAAUUAUUUUUUCAGCUUUCAUGUUUUUAUAAAGUUCAUUGUUAAUAAUAUGAACUUAAAAUGAUUUUAUUUUUCACAAAUGUUUAUUUUUCACAAAUAUUUCAUUUCAUUUUCUUAUUAUUCUUAUUCUUGAUGUUGUGCUCCUUCC